UUGUGAGUACGAGUAGAGCAGGUUUUAUCUACAUGUGAUAUCUGUGACCUAGUCGGUCGGUAUUUGUAUCUCGUACCUGUGACCUAUUCGGUCGGCUUAUUGCAUUGUUAUCGUGAUCUACUUGGUCGGUUGGACUACUUGGUGACCUAUACGAUCGGCAUGCCCUGAGGGGCAGGAUUGUUGGUUAGUUGCCGACGGUUGGCUAUUGAGCAUAUCAGCAUUGAUCGCCCGAGACUCGUACGCAUUUCACGAAUACCAACGGUCUGAUCCACCGCAAGAGCGUGUUCUUUUCCGUAAAAGUGGUUGGGUGUGCCAACCCGUGAGCCCAGCGGCCUAGGCUGGGUUAUAUGCAGGUAGAGUAGCAGUGGCACAGGCUUGAGGUUUGCGCUGCGGACCAACAGGGCAUUGG
rnacentral:lncRNA from 1 species